rnacentral:rRNA from 1 species
GAUUAACGCUGGCGGCGUGCAUAACACAUGCAAGUCGAACGAAGUGGCGGACGGGUGAGUAACGCGUGAGUAACCUGCCUUAGAGAAGGGGAUAGCCUUUGGAAACGAAGAAUAAUACCCUAUGCUCUAAGAUGGACUUGCGUCUGAUUCGUUAGUUGGUGUGGUAACGGCCCACCAAGACAGCGAUCAGUAGCCGGCUUGAGAAAGUGUACGGCCACAUUGGGACUGAGCCACGGCCCAGACUCUACGGGAGGCAGCAGUGGGGAAUUUUGCCCAAUGGGUGAAACCCUGAUGCAGCGACGCCGCGUGAUUUAGAAGGCCUUCGGGUUGUAAAAAUCUUUUCUAUGGGAAGCAGUACCAUAGGAAUAAGGACCGGCUAAUUACGUGCCAGCAGCCGCGGUAAUAC